rnacentral:rRNA from 1 species
CCUACGGGGGGCAGCAGUGGGGAAUUUUGGACAAUGGGGGCAACCCUGAUCCAGCCAUGCCGCGUGCGGGAAGAAGGCCUUCGGGUUGUAAACCGCUUUUGUCAGGGAAGAAAUCUUCUGAGUUAACACCUCGGGAGGAUGACGGUACCUGAAGAAUAAGCACCGGCUAACUACGUGCCAGCAGCCGCGGUAAUACGUAGGGUGCAAGCGUUAAUCGGAAUUACUGGGCGUAAAGCGUGCGCAGGCGGUUGUGCAAGACAGGUGUGAAAUCCCCGGGCUUAACCUGGGAACCGCACUUGUGACUGCACGACUAGAGUACGGCAGAGGGGGAUGGAAUUCCGCGUGUAGCAGUGAAAUGCGUAGAUAUGCGGAGGAACACCGAUGGCGAAGGCAGUCCCCUGGGCCUGUACUGACGCUCAUGCACGAAAGCGUGGGGAGCAAACAGGAUUAGAUACCCCGGUAGUC